CGUCAGGCUGGGACCAGCAGAGGCUGCCGACUGGUGUUGGGGAGGCCUCAGUUUUUGAGCUUGCUGGACUGGAGUCUGGCCAGCGAUCACUCCACAGGUGGAGCUGCGGACCCGAGAACUGCCUUCCAAAGUGGCAGUUUGCAACUGACUCAGUUCGUCAGGCUUGUUGGGGUGUGGUGGGGCGGGGCGGGGAUAGGGUGAGGUGACCGCUUCCACUCCUCCAGCUCUGCCUUGUCCUACUCCGCCCCCCUACACUCCCUUCUUCCCAGGCUUUGGGAGGCAAGGUCUCUAGGCGCUGUGAACAAGAAGAGCUGGGCCUACCCGUCCCGGGUUGUCAGAGAGCCUGGUCUGCUGCUUGACAAAGCCUGCAGCAGGAAGUAGGGCCCUCUCUGCUUCUAGUAACAGGGAGGGUGAUCUAGCGAAGAAUAUCAGCUGGUCCUGACUCGGCCUGCCAACCAUUCAUUCCCAACCUGUCUCCCAAACUUUAUCCAUUCCUUUCUUCAACAACUUUGUUUUGUUUUGCUCUGUGUUUUGAGACAGGGUUUCCCUGCCUAGCCUUAGCUGCCCUAGAUGAACUUUGUAAACCAGGCUGGCCUCGAACUCACAGCGACCCGCCUGCCUCUGCCUCCCAGAGUGCUGAGAUGACAGGCUUGUGGGCCACCUCGCCUGGCUCCUUCAGCAACUUCUUAUCCAGCGCUCACGCCACACUUCUCUACAGCCAUCGUGGAUCACACACUCCUUGUUAGACUCUGGGAGCAUAGCAGUGGAUGAGGUGAGACAGACUCCGGGUAGCUGCAAGACAGAGGAAGUGAGAAGAGCCAGGGUAGCAAGAUGCAGAACACUGCCGAGGAGGUGACCUCUGACCUGAUUAGAAAGAGAGCAGCAGUUGGCCAGGUGACAAGUUCUUAACAAAACCAGCCCCUGCGGUAGUGGGAGUUUUGGUGUCUUUAAAAACUUAGUUAUGUUACAUAAACAUGUUGUCGUUUUAAUCCCAGGGGCUGCUUCAGAUUGUCCACAGCAGCAGACUAUGUGCCUCACGAAGCCUCUGAGAAGGGCGUGGUAUUUGCCAGCUGCAGAUAGUUUAACCUCAGGGACUCUGAGAGAGUAUAAAUAAAUGCCAGGGCCCAGAGAGGGACGAGGGACUAGGAAUGGGGAUGGGGAUGAGGAGGGAAGAAGGCUGGGCCAGGGCCAGGGCCAGGAAUGGGAACAGGGACAGUGGAUGCUUGGAGGAGGAGGAAGGCGGCGGCUGCUUCCCCCUGCUGCUCCCAGUUGCUGCUGUUGCAGUUUGAUGAGAAGAAGCUGGAGGUAUUGACUAUGAAGAUUGGACUUGCCCCAAGGAACUGACAAUCCUAACCAGCAGGAAGUAGUCAAAAGACACGCACACUAGCCCUCUGCCCUCUAACCUUUUUUUUUUCCUUCUAUUUGGUGUUGUGGUGUUGGAACGGAUUGGGGUGAAGGGAGGUAGAUGUAUAAGAACCCAGUAAAAAUCGAUUAAAAAAAAAGUGCCAACACUCUGCAGUUUACAGUGCAAGCUUAAUUUCCGUUAUUUCCAUCUUUGCCACAGUCCUGGGAAAUGGCAAUGAUCGCCCCCAUUAUCCAGAUGACCAAACUGAGGUUACAAGACACUAAAUGGAUUGUGACAUAACCACAAACAAUGCCUCGCUGCCCCUCCGGCCUGGCCAGACUUCAUUUGACGUUCAGCAUGCAGGAGGGCUGCCUUAGGACUGGAGCAGGACUCAGCAUGGCUGAGAGGCUUGGAGAAGAAGCCCCAGGGACGUCUGCACAGGGCACAUGAAGUUGGCAUGGAGGUGAUCGUGAUGUCACAACCAGGUGAUUGAGACAUUACGCCAGUGGCAUCCCCACUUCCCAGAUGAGCGGAUGGAACAGGGCUGUCAGUCGAGGCCUCUCACAGAGGGAAAGUUACUGUUGGCAGCUGCUGAGAGGAAGAAUCAAGGAUCUUCUGUGUCCCAAGCAAGCCUGAAACUAGCUAUGUAGUUCAGAAUGACCUUGAGUUCCUGAUCCCCUGGACCUCCACCUCCCAAGUGCUGAGAUUAUAGCUUUUGUAGUCUGACGGUUUGUAAUACAAAAGCUGUGAAACGAGGUCCAGAGAGAGGCAGGAACCCGCCAGAGAUCACGCAGAGUGCAGGUUUCCCACGGACCGCUGUCAGACUCAGACGGCCUCCUGAUUCCACCAGAGGCCGGAAGAGAGCAUUGGAUUCCUUGGAAUUGGUGUUACAGAUGGCUGUGAGCCACCAUGAGAAAGGACGUAACUCGAAGGUAACAAACAACGGGCUCCAUUGGAGGCUGCCUAACAGAAAAGGACAAAAGGAGCAGGCUGGAGAACUGUACAGCCAAGAGCAGUAUCCCAAGAAAGCUACCCACAUGCAGAGCCGGGAGUCCCCAGCUGCCAGCAUGCACCAAGGAUAUUAUUCUACAGGCAUGCUUCCACCCUGACGCCCUUUGACCUUCUCUCUUUCCUCGUAGGAUUCUUCUGUAGGCCAGUGCACAGGUUAGGAGACUGAUGCUGAGCAAGUCCCCCAGUUCUGCGGAGAUCAGACAGCUGAUAACUGGCGGGACCAGCCCGGCACUAUAGCGAUAUCCUUACCUACUUACUCCCCUCUUUCUAAGCUCCUGGUCUGUGUUGGAGUGCAGAAAGAUUCUGCCGUGAAGCAGUGCUCUCCCUGACAGGGAGUCCUAUAUCCCAAGACAGAGGAACAAGCUUCAUUGUCUUUGUGCUGGGAUUCUCUGCUGAGCUCUCAUUCCAGCCCCAGAAGUUUUAGUUCUCGAUUCACUCCACUGUCGGAUUUUCCUGAAACCCUUUUCCUUUUCUAAUAUCAUUUAUGUAUUUUGAUGUCUACGGUUUAUCCGCUUCACCUUAGUCACUGAAAGCCCUCAUCCCUGUGCUCAUUGCAGAGGGUGGCCACAGUGAGAGAGCCUGAAUCCCUGUGCUCACUACGGAGGGUAGCUACAGUGAAAGAGCCUGAAUCUCUGUGCUUAGUGCAGAGGAUAGCCACGGAGAGAGAGCAGAGAUUGGAUGAACGUGAGAACUGCGCCAGGGUCAUACGACAGGCAAGUGGCACAGUCGUGACUUGGAUCCCGUGUUAUUUGGCCCCAGAGCUAUAGAGCCUUCUCUUAGACGGGGCCUCAUGUCAUCCACUUAGCAUACUGCCUGGUGGAAAGUUUACGUGUGAGAACAUUAAACAAUUCUGAGCUGGUAUUAAUAGGGAGGCCUUCUGUCCUCCUGAUCUCAUUUUCUGCAUUGCUUAAUGGUGCAGCCUUCAAGGCUGGGUAAGUCUUCAAGGUUGACUCAGCAGGUAACUGACAUGGCCCUCAGGUAGGAAGCACGCAGGUGUGCCAGCAAAGGUAGCAGACAGGCCAACCCCUCCCAGACAGAGACACCCAACCCCUACCCAUCAGAUGGGCCAGCCCCUCCCAGACAGACAGACCACCCCUACCAAUCAGACAGGCUAACCCCUCCCAGACAGACCGAACAUAAUCCUCCACUGGACCUGAGCUUCUGCAUUGCCCUGCCCACUUGGUAACUGACCUAAAAUUAUUCACCCAUGGGGCUGAAUAAUACACAGAUUUCCUCUGCCUUUUGAGAAAGGGGAAGUCCACACAACAGUUUACCAUGAGUCACUGGCUUUGUGAAGGAAGCCUCAGGAAUUGGCGAGGUAGCUGAACGAAGAGCUAUCUGAAGAGAGAAGAGAGAAGAGAGACCUGGGUUCUAGAAGGAACAUUACUACUCUGAUUAACUCAGCAACUUGACUGACUACAUUGAACUAGCCCCCUCCCUAGCCUUAAUUUUCUUAUCUGGAAAAUGGGACAGUAAUCUUUACUUUGCUGGGUUUUCUAGAUAGUUCUGCUAACUUCUUGUUAUUCUUCUUCUUGUUAUUAUUCUCACUGUCUGUCUGUUUAUAACAGUGUCACUAUAACCCAGGCUGGCCUUGAACUUUUGGCAAUCUUCCUGCUUCAGUCUUCUCAAUGCUAGGAUUAUAAAUGUGAGCCACAGCACUCAGGUAGUUCCACUAUAGUGGCCAACAGGGGACACCUAAGCAUCUUCUGGAGAAGCUUAGAAUGGUUACUGAAUCUAGAGGUUAAAGUGUGCAGACUUGGCACAGUGGCACACGCCUGUAUUCCCAGCACUUGGGGAGGCAGAGGCAGGUGGAUCUCUGUGAGUCUGAGGCCAGCCUGGUCUACAAAGUGAAUCUAGGAUAGCCAGGACUAUAAAGAGAAACCCUGCCUCAAAACAAACAAACAAAAACAAACAAGCAGACAAAAAAGUGUGCAGACUUGAAGUCAUUCAGCCCUGAAUUCAAAUGUUGCCACAUCACUUUCUAGUUGCCGAGCUGCUGAGAAAGUAACAGAAACUUUCUGACUCUUGGUUUCUUGACCUACAAACUAGAUACUUGGUUUCUCAGCUGCAGACUAUCAGAUAAUCUUCUAAACUGGUUUGGAAAAUUAGCUGAGGCCCUGCCUACCAUGAGGUAAAUAAGAGGUAGUUCACAGUUAUCGCUCAGGAAUAAGGACUGGUUCUCAACCUUUGACUCCCCCCCCCCCCCACUUCUCCCUUCAAACAAACAUACCCUGCCGACAUCAC